CCCCUUUUCACUCAGCUCUGCAUCGAACCAGCCACAGAAACGGUUCUCCUGGUUCCAUGUGCUCUCGCCGUGCCGGACCAUCACGAGGCGCCAGGCUAGGAGGCGGCCCUCAGCAGGCAGAGGAGGAGAGCCAGAGGAGCUGGUGCAGACCACAGCUUUGUGGAGAGGAGUCUGGCCUUGUGGAAGGUACCAGGCAGCAGCAGCAGAAUGGGCAAGGGCUGGGGCUGAGCCGGGUUUCCAGGACAAAGGGGGAAAGGGCCCCUGUCUUUCCUCCGGGGUCCCUUUGUCAAGGUCUCAUCCAUACAUGCCCCAUGCUCCCACCCUAUCUGCCCUCACCCAAGCCACGCUCACUCUCCUAGCCGAAACCACCUUGAAAAAGAGAAAUCCAAGGGGGUUUGGGGGCAGGACUGAGGACUGUCAGAAGUCUUGAUUGUUAGGUAAAUGCUCAGCUUAGCAGGAACCCACAACGUAGGCUGAAGGGUGGCACGGAGUUGAGUCUAGGACCAAGACUUCUGCAUUCAGGUUUGGGGGAUGAGAGCCACCAAGGCAGGGAAGAGACUAUGAGCAAUAAAGUCACAAUUGGGGCCCUAAUGAAGGGGCCAUGGCCAGACCCUUGGGCAUGGGCCCCAUCCAGGGCCUCCCAUUUCCUCCCACCCCAGUGACCACACUGUCACCUGCGACACUUCUGAUAACAGGAGCGGGUAGGUGAGAGGCCAGCAGAGGGACCACCACUCUGAGACUUGGAUCUGAGUGUGCAAGAAACCCUCGACAGGCCUCCCUCCAUCCCUGCUGGCCUACCUGGGGAGGGGCUCCUGGCUUGGGGCCUGUGAAGCUAAGGCUCUGUACCCAAAGGUUGGCAGACAAGUCCCAGUGGGCAAAGUCCUGUCGGCUGCCAGGACCCCCAAGGCUGGCAGGUGGAACCCAUCCCUCCUAGCAGUGCCAUGCGCAGGUCUCACUGUUCCACACUGAUCCUGAUUGAAGCCACAUCUCCUCAUCUGCUUUUGUCCCUUUGACCAAGAGUUGAUUCACUAGCCCAACUAAACAUGACUGAGGACCAGGCUCUGGCAGUCCCACAGGGGCCAGACAUGAAGCCCAUAUUUCAGUGGAGGAGGGAUCGUACCAGCAGCUAAACAUGCCUACCGUAGAUAGCACCAGAUGCUAGGAAGGAAGGACCAUAAUGUACUGGGAGAGAUGGGAAAGGAGAGGCCGGGGACAGCCCUGAGGUGACAUGUGAGUGGAAAGAGCGGAGUGCAAAGGCCUCAGCUAUGAUGAGUCCUACAGGGAGAGCAAUUCAGGUAGAGGGGUUGGCAAAGACCCAAGCCCUACAGAAAGCAAACAAGCUGGGGCAGCGACCAUCAGGGGCACAUGGCAGAGAGGUGGGCUUUGUGUCCCAACACAGUGGGAAUCACUGGAGACUUUGAAGCAUGGUCAUAUUUUCAAGUCACUUGCAGCUGUGUAGGAGUGGAAGUAGAAGCUGAGUACCCUGCAGGUCUCGGCAGCUUUGAUGAGAACAAGGCCGCUUAGCCAGGGCUGGGUGCAGAAGCAGUGGCAAGGAUCCCCCAGACCUGGGAGACCUCACUGCCAACCAAGCAGGAGGUGUCAAAAAGGAAAGGGGAGCCCAAAGAAGGGCUGGACUUCGGGGAAGCAAGCCCCUGCUUCUGACCCUUGGCUCCGGCUUGACUUUCCUUUGAUUCAUUUGACAAGUAGUUGCUGGCCUCUGCAGUGUGCCAGAGCUUUCUUGGAGGGGUACAGGGGUAGGAAAACCAAAAGCCACCCUCAGGGCCUCCAUCCAGGAAGGCAUAGCAUGGUGGGCGGCGAGGAAGGCUGCUGAGUCAACAAGGUGGUCCCAGGAAGGUGGAGGGAGCAUCUUCCCAUGUCUCUCCCACUGACAGCCACCAAUCCUGGACAGAUGCAGGAGCAGCUGUCAGUAGACAGAUAAGAAAAGGAGAUCAGAUUCAAAGUUCCGCAGAGAAGUGGUGAGGUAACAAGUAUUGCCUAGCCUGGACACACAGGCGGCUUGAAACCUCAAGUGCACCAACAGAAAGAGCUCCAGGAAGAAUCAGAGGAGUGGGAUGUGAAGCCCCUCGAAGUCAGGGUGCUCACAACGCUGGUGGACUGCAAAAUGACAGACGCACUCGGGACAACAACUUGGCUCUUAUGAAAUAAACAUAUACUUACCAAAUGACCCAGUAAUCCUGUGCCUAUUUACCCAAGAGAAAUGAAGACCCAUGUGUUACACGAAAACCUGUACAUGCAUGUCUGUAGCAGUACGAUUCAUCAUCUCCAAACCCUGGAAACAACCCAGACUUUUUUUCUUUUUAGGCAGACUCUUGCUCUGUCGC
rnacentral:lncRNA from 1 species